UUUGAUGGGCAACGGCGACUGAACUCCGUACAAGUCUUGAAUUGAGAGGAGAACGGAACAAUAGGCAGGGCACUAAGACGCGCUCUGAGCCAUCCUCACUGUGUCACCUGGCACACACAGGGUGAGGAGCUGGAGCAGGUGCAGAAGAAAGGUUUCUUUGCUUCAAGACAGCACGGUUGCCGGUUGCUCCUAAUAUUAUUUUGUUGUUAUUUUUAAGAUUCUGUUUAUUUAUUCAUGAAGAAGAUACAGACAGAGACAGAGAGAACCACACAUCAUGCUGGUACAUGUGCUGCCGGCGAUUGAACUCAGGACCUCACGCUUGAGAGUCCAAUGCUUUGUCCCCUGCGCCACCUCCCGGGCCACCUAAGAUUAUUGUCAGUAGACUCCGCAUUGUGCACGGAAAACCUUGAAAUACGUUCGCGUAAUUUAAAAGAAGACUUGCUCCUAAUCUGUGGAAACUCCCAACAGAAGAAGGAAUUGUUUCUUGGCCCUUAUGAAGUCCUGAACAGGAGAUGCAGGGGGCAUGAAGGAAGGCUGUUACUUGUAUCCAGAGAACAGAACUUGGCCCAUUGACCCUAAGUGUCCUCCUCUAAAGGAUUUGCCUUUUGAACACCUAUGCUACGAAGUUUCUGUGCAAAAGGCAGUGUAUCAUGCCCUGAUGUAGCAACGACAGCAGCAGCAGCAGCAGCAGCAGCAGCAGCAGCAGGACAGUGUGUAAUGAAAAGACCAUAUCAAAGGACCAGGGAAAGGCCAGUCCCUGCCCACUGCCCCAGCUGGACUUUCUAGCACACGAAAUUCUGCGGUCUGUCCAAGUGUUGAAUAUCAGAUGGGUCACCAUGGGUGAACUGUUGGAAACCUCUGAGACCAUAAGUGCUUCAGCUUCUCCUGCACGUCUUCUCACAGGUUCCUUGUUGUUCGGCCCAGAUAGUGGCUUUAGCACCUGGUAUCUGGAUGGUACGUGUAGAUGGUGAGCUCAGCCUUUCUGCAGGACCUGAAACCACCAGGUACACCUCCGUGACUGACCAAGCCUCCAGACUUACCAGGUCUCCAAGGAGGGAAUGCCACCCUCCUCCCCUUACAGGAAAGCAGGCAAGCAGGCUCUCUUCACUGCUAUCUGCAUAUUUGUUGAAAACAACAGUUGAAUCUUAACUCACUCCUUAUGUCACAAGGUGGUGUCCCAGCCAGUAUUUGAACGUACCCAGUGUGAUUGCAGAGUUCCUACUUUGGACUAUAUGCCAGUGUAGCAUUUUUGGGUUGUUCCUCAGUGUACUUUAGCUCAGUGCCCUAUAAUGAGUACAUGUGCUGCCUGGGGUGUAUUUUGUAGUUUAAUUCAUAUAUUGAUCAGGGUCCUAACUGUGUUAGUCUCAGAAGAUUUAGGACAAGGACUUUCAGUUAUCACUGUAUCCUUGUCCCACAGUUUUCUCUCCCUCUCUCUGCCCACCCCCCCCCCCCGCACACCUCAAGAGUUAUCACUAAGGCUUUGCCUGCAUAGCUCAUCUGUUCCAAGUAGACCCUUUCUUUAAUAAAGGCUGACUAACAGAGUGGGAGCGAGAUAGAGAAGGAGAGAGAAGCACACACACUACAGCUCUGCUCAACUAGCUGUGAAGCUGCCUCCCAGAAGGCAUUCCCAUGUGGUAACUGGGGAUUCACCCAGGCCUUUGAGUGGCAAAGCAUGCGCUCUUACCAGGUGAGCUCGCUCCCCCCCCCACACACACAUUUCUUUUUAUUUAGUCUUGAAGGCCUGCUUUUCUCUUUGUUCUAGUUUUAUGGAUCUGAAUAUGUAAAGAGUAUGUUAGAUAAAGAGUAUAUGGUCCUGGAAAAAUAAUUCCUCAAUGGGUUACUCCAUAUGGAUUUGAAAUUGGUUCCCACAACCCUCCUUAUUAUACUUAGUAAGGCAUUUAUGGCCAGAAAACAAAUAGAUCAUUUAUUUCAAGUUAAUCAUGGGCCAAUAUGUCCUAUUCUGUUUGGUUGUUCUGAUCACACUAGCUAGGUCCAGUCUUACUAUAAUUUACUGGCACUUAAAUAUGACUUAGAGAUUCAUAUUUUAAAGAGACAGGGCAUACUCUUGGAAAUCCAGGACAGGAUAAACAUCAUAUUGGCCAGGAGAUGGAAGCUUCAGUAUAACAACAACAACAAAAAAAUCCUGGCCUUCACAUAGCUAUACUUAGCUUGAAUCUCAUUUCUUUGACUCACUUCACUGGAGUGUUUUCUUUUUAAUGGGAAGGAAAUUAGUUCUUAAAAUGAUAAAUGGACUCACUUGAGUAGUGCACUGCUUUGCCAUGUGCAUGACAUGGGUUUGAUCCCCGACCUCCCCACACUGAAAGAAGCUUCUGGGCUGUGGUCCCCCUCUCUCUCCCUCUCCUUCCUCCUCUUUCUUUUCCAUUCUCCCUCUGUCUAAAAAAGUCAUCCCAGAGAGGGUGAAGCCCCAGAUAUACCCCUCCAAAAAGAUAAAUGGAAUCUACCAAAACAAAAACAAAUGCUUUAAGGGGAUAUGUCAAACACAUGCUUCAUUCCAUAUAAGAAACACAUAGAUAAGGGGGAGGGUUCUGACUAAACCAAGUUUUAUUGGUAUGAAAUGGGAUAUGAAGGAAAGAGACUAGAGGGCUGAUAAGCUGUGGCAUAAAGUGGUGCUGGGAACCAAACCUGGGGAGUCUAUGGCCUUAGACACAUUUAAGUCCAAAUAGAAUUUGUGCUGAAGAGAAGCCAUGGUGAUCAGACAUCACCAAGGGGACAGGGUGAAGGUUGUAGGAGGAUGAGAAUGGAGAUGAAAAAUGUUGAUACUAAGAUAAAUGCAGAGAAAUAUUUGAUAGAUUUAACAAGUAGAAAUGACUUUGAGAAACUUUGAAACUAGGAAUACAGUAUUUCUUAAACAGAAACAAGCAUGGAGAUCACAUAUAUUCUUGGAAAACAAUGGUGCUUUAAGGUAAAUAGAUAGGAGAAAGAAGCUCCUAUAAACAGCUGCUGCAAGCGGACUGGCAUACUGCCAGUUCUGAAACCAGACAAACAGGUCCUGAGCUUGGUUCAGACAAGCUAGACCUGUCAUGGUUGAUGGUACAUGUAUUUAUCUUCUACUUUCUCAAUGGAAAGUCUUAGGCCCAUGUGUCCACCACAUUCAAGAGAGAAAGAGAAACAGUCUUCACUUCAUUGAACUGAGUCUCUUCCUGUGGCUUUUAAUUUUUAUGGUUAUAGUGUUUGCGAAAGAAGACUUUGUCCUUACCUAUUGAGACUCCAACAGAAGGAGGAAUUGAUGGGUAGUUUCAAGAGUUGAAAUUGUCCCCAAAGCAAGGCUAUCACUUGAUGCCAAAUAAAGUUGCUCUAGCCAGCAGCCUCCAACGGCAUUGUAGCCUACUCCAAAGUGAAAGAGACUAGGAGAUUUGACUGAAAUUAGAGGAUGUUCUUUGAAAACCUAUGGUGCUGUCCUCCCAGAAUAUUGAACAGAAGCAGAUCUGGAUGCCUUCCUUUACUCUGUGGCAAGUUUCCUUAUUCUGUCUCCCUUUGAUUGAGCGGGACCUGGAGCUAGUGCAGGAAGGCCUGCCUACCUUGUUGCCCUGGGGAGAGCUGUCAGGUUCUUCUCAAUCUUGGCUCCUGAUGCAGAAUGAGCAGUGGUUCUUCAUGCAGUCAUACUUACAGUGAUCUCAGGCCAAUACCACUGGUGAUGCUUUCUUUCCACUGGCAGCAGCAGCCAUGUGAAAUGGGAAGUGUUUAUCCAUGGAAACAAGGUGAAUGGCUGAUGACUACAUGAGAAUGUAGUGCUGUAUCCAUAGUAUUGUCUGAUAGGCUGAUGUAAGGAGCUAGCUACUAGAGUUUUGCUUAAAGACAUUUCACUCCCUUGUCGGGAGAUCUGAACUUAAUUGCUUUGGAAGACGGAAUCUGACACAUGUGACAUAAGAAUGUACAUUGUAUACAUGUAUGUUUGCUGUGAUGUCACACCUGAAUUGCCUUGACUGUGGUGGCAUGCCUGCCUUCUAAUUUUGCAUGAUGUGUCGUCCUGGCCAUACGUGUUCUCUAACAGACCCAAAAUUUGAGCCUCUAUGAGACUCAGUUGUUUUGGUGGAGCAGAUAGCAUGCUUCUGACCCACUGCAAUAACUCCAGCAGCAGGAGGACCAGCAUGUAGUGAAGAGACUAUUUUAAGCCAAGGGCAAGGCCAACCUUGUCCUCUUCCUUAACUGGACUGUCUAGCCCAUGGGACUUCCAAUGCCUGUCCAAUGUUGGCUACCAGCUGGGCCUCCCUGAUGGGACUAUUGAGGGUCAUAGAGUCCCCAUAUAUCAGACCUCUCAGCCUGGGUGCCUGGUCAUAGAUUCCUUGUUGCCUGGCCCAGAUGGUGGCCUCAGCACCUAUUGGAGACCGGCUGACUCUUUCUCUGAGAAUUCAGGAAGUCCUAGGUCACUUGCUACUAAAGUUGAGCUUGACAGAUCUUACGAAGCUCCUCUGAACAAUUUAAAACCAAGCAUACCUUAUCCAUGACGCCAGAAGCUCCUCUGAACAAUUUAGAACCAAGCAUACCUUAUCCUACCUUAUCCAUGACGCCAGCCUUUUCGGGAUUCCUAGGAGAGUGUGCUAACUGCAGUUACUAACCUUAUAUUAUGAGGACAUGGCAGCACAGUGCCAGACCUCAUGACGACAUUGAAAAGGAGAACUCACUCCUACAGUAAGAUGCUAAAAUCCUAAACAGAAUCAAACCUCAGUGUGUGUGUGUGUGUGUAAGUAGAGACAUAAGUAUAACCCCACUAAAUUAAAUUUAAUACUGGGAUGCAAUGAUUAUUAACUUUAGAAAAUCAGCUAAUGCUGUACAUUAAGGGAAUAACAGAGGAAAGUGGAUACUCUAAGUAGACACAAAUACUUGAUAAAUUUAACAGUGGCAUUUAGAAAAUAUAAAAUUAGAAACUAUUUACUUUUAAAUCAAUAACAAGUAUAAGCUGAGAAAACGAGGGUCCAUUUAUGUUAAUUGGGGGAGGAGGGGAGGAAGAGCCUUUACACAACAUUCUGCCAGUUCUAAAACCGGGUAAACUGCUAGGAAACUUGGUUCAGCCAAGUAAGACAAGCCCCUGUUUUAGCUAGAAUUCUCAUAUCACUGUAAGCGGUGAAUGGGCUCCUGUUCCCUGCACACCCAUUGUUAAGGUGCUUCCUCCUCUUAGCUGGUGGGGACCCUCAUGUUGGACUCGCUGGGUAGAGUUGUUAGGCUGCUUGCCACCUCUGGCUCCCACUGUAGGUUGAAUGGUGCAGGAGACUUAAUGGAACUAGGCACCUGCAGGUACAGUGGGGACGAGCACUGAAUUCAUCUGGACUGCAUCAUGUCUAUGGCACUGAGUUCUAUGUGGUGGAUGGAGAGGCACCAGCAAUGGUUGACCAUCCCUCUAGCAGCAGUGAGGGUGGCACUAUGUGACUCACAUUUUUCUUUUCCUGCAAGACUUCCUGGUGGCACUUGGUGGUGUGCCAGUGUGCUUGAUGGCAUCCCUGAAGGUUUUUUUUUUGUUUGUUUGUUUUUUGCGUUGAAUAUCCCUUGAGGACACCAGCAAACUUGGACUUCUAGGAGAGUGAUCUUCACCCAGCUCUUUAGUGAUGUCUCCAGUGACUGGAUGCUGCUUGACUGUGUCAGAGGACCCUGCAGGAUCUGAAUCAUCUGUCGAGAGAGGUGUAACAUCUUCAGUGAAGAUGUCCCUGUGAGAAUUGGUCAGUGUUUUCUGGAAUUCUCACUUUCUUCUUGGGAUUCCAGCUGAGGGUCCUGUGGCCCAGAACUGCUUCUAUAGGAAGCAAAUUAUUUGUCUCAGGGAUGCAAAAGCAAACCCCACAGGGGCUCCUGUCCCCACCUCCCUAUCCAGCAGUCUCUGUAGGUAGCUCCUUCUCCUUGGCCACUGUGGAUUCUUCUUGAAUGUUCACCUCCCCUUCUUAAGAGGAAGAUAGUGGUGAUUGGUCCAUGAUCUUGAAGACAGGCUGAGGAAGGAAACGCUGGGUAGGUAAUCUCUUCCCUAGAGGAACCUCGGCCGUGUCUACACAUCAUGGAAUCAUGAGCUGAGAAGAGAGCUUUCUUCAGAGGGUCCCAAACAACUGAAUGAAACUCCUCAUGGUAGCACCUGACCCACCAAGUUAGGUGAUGUUUCUUGAGCCUGACGUGGAAGCUGGCUGAGGGCAGGCACUGGUGCAGCCGUGUGGUUCAGUUUGGGAAGCCAACUUACUCGUGGUCAAAACACACUUCUCAACUCAUUUUGUUAGUGUCCAUUUUUAUGCAUCUGAGACUAGACUGGAAAGCAGAGACGUGCUCAGUCUUUCAGAUCUUUCUGAAGAAGAAUAUAUUUCCUAGCAGUAAUUCACAUUUGAUGUUGAGAAAGGCCAUAUAAGUUUUCAAGGAAAGUGAAACAUUUGCCUCACUAAAAUAUAUCUAAAGGGUCCGGGAGAUAGUUCACCCAGUAGAGCACAUGCUUUACCAUGCAAGAAACCCUGGCUUCCAACUCCUGUACCAAUGGAAGCAUCUGAACGGCACCAGCAGAGCUGCAUGGAGUGGCAGUGCUGUAUUUCUCCUUGUCCUCCUCCUCCUCUCUCUAAAUUGAAGAGUGAAAAUAACUGGCCCCAGGGCACUGCUCAGUAAUGUGGUAUUACGCAUGUGUGAGGUCUUGGUCUCACAGAUGAUAUUAUUAAUACUGAUAAUUAUAAUGCUAAUUAAAUACUAUUAAACUCAUAGUCAUGGACAUUCUUUCUGAAUAGGUAAUGUAUAUAUGCUAUUCAAUUUCAUUGUUCACUUUUAUUUUUUUUUAAUAUUUACCAUUAAGAGGGGAGAGAGAGAGGGAGAGGGAAUCAACCAGAGUUCCAUCGGCUCUGGCAUCUUGAAUUUGGAACUUCUGGAGCCUUAAGUGUGCAAGUCCUUUGAAGCUAUAUUUGAAGACAUAUUUCCCUGACCCUUCUUACUUUAUCACUUUUAAAAGCUCUUUUAUUUUUCUCAAAAUCUAAUGUACUAUGUAAUAGACUCUGGAACUCCCUGAACAGAGUCAUUGUGGAGGAAGUAGUACUACGUAGACAUUAGCACAAGUCAAUAUAGUUUUUUGAGUAAUUUUGAAUGUCAUUUUUGAGCCAUUUGAAUAUAUUAAAACCUCAAAUGCACUAAGUUUUUACGCAUAAACUUUGGUUUUUCCACUGGAGGGUGCAAUUUGUCAGUGUAUCAACAUAUUCACGAUUUCUCUAAUGGGUAUACUUUCAGUAUGUCUUAUUCUUACAGUGAUUUCUAUAUUAAUGUAGAAUGUUAGUUGCUUUCAAAAGCCUUAAAUAAAUGAAAUUAUACCAGUCUGA